rnacentral:rRNA from 1 species
GCCCGUGACGAGACCAUCACGGUGAUAGGCCGGAGGUGUAAGCGUGGUAACACGUGUAGCCGACCGGUACUAAUCGGCCGAGGGCUUAAA